GACGAACGCUGGCGGCGUGCUUAACACAUGCAAGUCGAACGAAGAGCGAUGGAAGCUUGCUUCUAUCAGUCUUAGUGUCGCACGGGUGAGUAACGCGUAAUCAACCUUCCCUUCAGAGGGGGACAACAGUUGGAAACGACUGCUAAUACCGCAUACGAUCUAAACUCGGCAUCGAGGAUAUCUGCAAGGUUGCCUCUACAUGUAAGCUAUCACUGAAGGAGGGGAUUGCGUCGGAUUAGCUAGUUGGAGGGGUAACGGCCCACCAAGGCGAUGAGCAGUAGCCGGGCUGAGAGGAUGAAAGGACACAUUGGGAAUGAGACACGGCCCAGACUCCUACGGGAGGCAGCAGGGGGGAAACUUCCGCAAUGGACGAAAGUCUGAAGGAGGAACGCCGCGGGAGGGAUGACGGGCCUCGGGUUGGAAAGCUCUGUUAAUCGGGACGAAAGGCCUUCUUGCGAAUAGUGAGAAGGAUUGACGGUACCGGAAUAGAAAGCCACGGCUAACUACGUG
rnacentral:rRNA from 1 species